rnacentral:rRNA from 1 species
AACGACUCUCGGCAACGGAUAUCUCGGCUCUUGCAUCGAUGAAGAACGUAGCGAAAUGCGAUACUUGGUGUGAAUUGCAGAAUCCCGUGAACCAUCGAGUCUUUGAACGCAAGUUGCGCCCCAAGCCUUCGGGCCGAGGGCACGUCUGCCUGGGUGUCACUAA